CAGCAGCCACGGGAACACGGAGGGUGCAAGCGUUAAUCGGAAUUACUGGGCGUAAAGCGCACGCAGGCGGUUUGUUAAGUCAGAUGUGAAAUCCCCGAGCUUAACUUGGGAACUGCACUUGAAACUGGCAAGCUAGAGUCUUGUAUAGGGGGGUAGAAUUCCAGGUGUAGCGGUGAAAUGCGUAGAGAUCUGGAGGAUUACCGGUGGCGAAGGCGGCCCCCUGGACAAAGACUGACGCUCAGGUGCGAAAGCGUGGGGAGCAAACAGGAUUAGAUACCCCCGUGGUCCCUGUCUCUUAUAC
rnacentral:rRNA from 1 species